GACGAAAAGCAGCAGAACUCUAGGCGCGAUACAAUCUGCUCGCCAACCCCUCCCCUAAUGACUAACUGCCAGGCUCGAGCCCGCUCCGUUUGAAUCUAUCGGCUCUAUUUCCUAUUGGUCUGCUGGCACAGCCAAUGACGUCCCUCAGGCGCUUCUCGUGUCCCGCCCUCUCGCCGACCCACCAAUCAUUGGAAGACGCAGAGUAGAGUGCGGACAGCUGGGAGAGAGGAAAGGCGGGGCCCGGGCCGGGGCGCGCCGCCGGAGCAGCGCAGUGAUUGGCCGGUGAGGUGAUUGGCGGUUCCACUACGGUCUGGAGUGGGCCGGGUAGGGAAGUUGCGGCGGUUGUUGGUUGCUAGUCCCGUGCCAGUCUCGUGGACUGCCGUCCGCUAUACCUUCUUAUCUAAGGAAGGAGAGUGCCUAUCUUCAAAGACCUUGCCUUAAAGAGACUUAAAGAGAAUAUGCCUUCCUUCCACCAUAUUAAGAAUAUCCUUGACUGAAAUCUUGGCUGUAGCACGCACAUGACUUACUUUAAAUUACUAACAAACAAAAAACAACACAAAAUCUCAUCAAAGUCAAAGAAUAGAAACAGACAAACCAAUUCCAGUGUCUUCGUGUCUUUGUCUUAUUUAUAGCAGCACAUCAGCAGGGUUGUCAUGGAUACUGAGUCAGGUCUCAUUUUGCCAACUUGCAGACAUGCCAAAACUGGAAUUCUCCUUUCCCACUUUUUAGAGAUAACCAUCCUUAUGGACUUAAUUGAGAUUCCACUGAAAUAAGUGAAAAGCCUUUGGCCAUUUUAAUAGAUUUUGGACUACAGAGUUAGGUGAACAGUACAAUGCAUGUAAAUAUUCUGUUUCAAAAUAACUGUCAGAUGUUUUUUACAACUUAUUCCACUACUGAAAAAUGGAUAUGUAUUAUGAGACAUCCCAGAAGACACUGGACUUCAAUGUUCUGUCAGCUUACUCUUGUGCUGUUCUUGGAUUUUGCUGUUCCUCCUGUGGUAGCCAAUCUGCAUUGAAAGAUAUCUUCUGGGACAGUCUGGUCCUGUGUGAAGCCCCUUUCUAUAUCAGAUUUUCUUGGACUGCGGAGUUUCCACUUCUUUUUUAUUUGUUUGCUUGGUUGGUUUGUUUUCAUAUAGUGUCUUUUGUGAUCAUAUUAUGUUCCAUGCCACAUGCCAUUGAAAUAUGAAUAGUGAAGAUGAUAGUAGGAGUGUUCCAGUUUUGUUUUUAAGAUGAGGCCUUUCAUAAUGUUUUAUACAGAGCUUUAAAUCUAGAUGCUCAAGAGUAGAUGAGGUUAUAGAGCAAACAGCUGCACUGCUGCUGCUGGAGAGAGACGGGGGGGAACAGUAGCUGCUAUAUGGAGGUAAAAGGGAACAAAAGUGAACUUUAUUCAAGGAAGCAAAAAAGAUAAGAAUGCAGAGAUUCUAAUGUGCUGAGUUUAAAACAAACAUUCAAAAGCAAAUGAGAAAGACUCUUGUAAUCUUGCACUGUUUGUACACUGUUGCUAAUUAACAGGCUUUGCUGGUCUUAACUGGCUCUUCAAUAAUAUUGUAAGCAAGAGAAAUAUGUGUUUGCUUCUGAUCCUUCUCUUGAAUGUUCCGUAAUGGAAGUUAUAUCCCACUGAGUACUGAAUAGCAAAGUAUUUAAUGGCACAACUGAAAUACUGCUCCAUUUUAUACUUGAAUGAAAUGCAUUUAUAUUCAUUAAUUUAUGUAUUUUUUCAUCUGCAAAUCUUUUCACAGUGGAGAUAAGGAAAUAUGGUACCUUUUCUGAAAUGUUUAUAAUGUGUUACCUGUAUCUAUCAGCAAUCCCAGUAAAUCAGUAAAUCCCAGUCAAUAUAGUGGAGCCUAGAAUAGGGUUAUAGAAAAGUUUCCUAUAAGAUUUAUUGCAAAAUUCUCUCUUAGAUUCUUAAGAAAAAUAAAGUAAUAUGUUUGCUUGUUUGUUUUCA
rnacentral:lncRNA from 1 species